GAUGAACGCUGGCGGCGUGCCUAAUACAUGCAAGUCGAGCGAAUGGAUUAAGAGCUUGCUCUUAUGAAGUUAGCGGCGGACGGGUGAGUAACACGUGGGUAACCUGCCCAUAAGACUGGGAUAACUCCGGGAAACCGGGGCUAAUACCGGAUAACAUUUUGAACCGCAUGGUUCGAAAUUGAAAGGCGGCUUCGGCUGGCCCUUAUGGAUGGACCCGCGUCGCAUUAGCUAGUUGGUGAGGUAACGGCUCACCAAGGCAACGAUGCGUAGCCGACCUGAGAGGGUGAUCGGCCACACUGGGACUGAGACACGGCCCAGACUCCUACGGGAGGCAGCAGUAGGGAAUCUUCCGCAAUGGACGAAAGUCUGACGGAGCAACGCCGCGUGAGUGAUGAAGGCUUUCGGGUCGUAAAACUCUGUUGUUAGGGAAGAACAAGUGCUAGUUGAAUAAGCUGGCACCUUGACGGUACCUAACCAGAAAGCCACGGCUAACUACGUGCCAGCCGCCGCGGUAA
rnacentral:rRNA from 1 species